AUAAGUCUUGAUCUGCGGUGUGGAGAUUUUUCAAUCACCGAAAUCUCUUUGGACACCCACGCGCCGGCAGCGCGUGGGAACUGUUUUGGUGUCCCUCUUGGUCCUAAAUGUUCCUCGUGUAGUCACGAGCAUGACGGUAUGCUUGGAUUUGAAUUCGAUUAUCGUUUGACCGUCGAUCGGAUAUCGCAUAUUAGGAGUUAUCCGGGUUGGACAUGUUCGAACUGUUGGAUCGACUCCAAUUUAAUAUAUGUUGAUCUAGGCAUCCCUAGGAUUGUUUAGGAUUUCGUGGAUCGUGAAUAGGAGCCCCGGAUGUUCUGAUUCAGUAACUUAAAGUUUGCGUUAAAUGAUAAUCAUCCGAUCGUACGAUCGCGAGCAACUCGACCGUUCAAUCCGAACCAAACUUGCAGGACAUGUAUUCUAAACCAUGUGGAAUCCAUAAGAACUUCUGGAUCGGAAAUAGGAGGUCGUGGGCCCUGCUGGCCCGGUUGACCCAAUUUGGAAAGUUUGACCGCUCAGUUGACCAAGUGUCUUCCAAGGUUAUCCCAUCAUUCGAAACACGUAGUUGGACUUUAAGAAUGUCUCGUUCCUUG
rnacentral:lncRNA from 1 species